rnacentral:rRNA from 1 species
UAGGGAAUCUUCCACAAUGGACGAAAGUCUGAUGGAGCAACGCCGCGUGUGUGAUGAAGGCUUUCGGGUCGUAAAGCACUGUUGUAUGGGAAGAACAGCUAGAAUAGGAAAUGAUUUUAGUUUGACGGUACCAUACCAGAAAGGGACGGCUAAAUACGUGCCAC